UUAUGUAUUUCCUUUUACCUUUUAUCAUCUCUUUACUUAAAGGCUUUUAUUUUUAUUGGAAUUCUUCUUCUUCUUUUAUUUCAAUUUUUAUUUUUUAUUUUUUAUAUUAAAAAAAAUGGGAUUCGUGCAUUUUAAUCUUAAUAUUAUUUAAAGUUUGGUAGACUUAUAUGCCACCAAACUGGGUUCCAUUUUUUUAAAAAAAAAAAUUGGUGGGUUUGGAUCCGAUCAACAUUCUUUAUUUGUUUAUAGAUUUUUAAAUUGAAUGUUUAAAUAUGUUAUCAUACACUUGGACUUCAUUCUAAGUAGUUUGCUUUUUGAUUAAAUGUGGUGACUAUGGACUUCAUUUUAUCAUGUUUGAUUUCUACCUCCUCCUCCAUCAUAUAACAGAGUAAAAUUGAUUUGUUAAUUAGGUAUUAUUUGGAUAUCACCACCACCACAGCCACCGUCAUCGUCUUUGCUUCAAACCCCCUCCGUGAGGCUCCUUGGACUCUUCAAUUGAUUAAUGUUCUUUUGCUAGCAAGGUUGAAGGUUUUAUGCAGCAAAUUAGCAGAGUUUGAUUGAUUUAUUAAUAAAGUUUGGCUGCUUGAAAUGUAUGGUCAGGGUAAAGAUCACUCUAUUUCUUAUGUUUGAUUGCUAACACACAGACUCUUCACAUUAAGGUAAAGACUCUUGGCUCCAAAUUAGGUGGGUCUUUCCUGUUUGUGUUUUCUGCUUUUAAAUUGGUCUUUCAUCUAAAAAAAUUUCAAAUUGGUCUUUCCUGUUUGGAAGAUUUGGCAUUUGUUUUCAGAAAUCUCACCAAAGGUCUUUACGAUAUUUAAUAAGGCCAUGAUUUUUGGGCUUUAUAUGUGUAUCUCUAUGAACUUUCUUUUUUCUCUUUUGAAAUUUUUGACAUUAUACUUUAACUACAUGUCUCUUUUCAGUUAUGAUAUUAAGAAAGAUGUAUGAAACUAUGGAUUUAAAAGGAAUGUAUGAAGAGGAGUUGUUUUGAGGAGUUGCA